AUGCACUUUUCUUCCUCUAGGAAGGGAACCAGAGUCUUUAUAGCAUCAGUGAAAAGGAACUCUGUCCUCCUUAUCUUCCUGCUUUUCUCAGUUCAGCCCCCAUUCUUAUUCCAUUGGUGCCUGGAGGAAGUCUUGGUUAAAAGCUUUCUGAUGGAGACAUUGAUGAUUAGUUUGGAAAGAGCCAGAGUGAGUGGUCCCGACUCCUCCCCCGCUUCCCCCGCUUCCAGGAUGUGCGGGGCUGCACCCAGAACAGAUGCCUUCCUUUGGACAAGGGUCUCAACACCUCUGGGGGCACUGCUGGUCUUGAGAUUCACUCCUUUUCUCAUGUUUGGUCCACUCAGUGUCAGAUGUUUUGCUAGGUGACAGGGAUAUAAUAAGUAAGACACAGUCCUGCCCUAAGAUGACCUCACUGUAAGUUAAAAAAUUAGGCUGUCCCUCUGGAUAAGUAUAAUGGCAGUGACAGGCAUGGCUUGGGGGUGGGCUCUGAGACCAAGGCUCAGAGCACCUGCCUUGUCUUAAUGGGCUAAUAGAAGCUUUCUGGAGGAGGUGACACCUGAGUUGCUUUCAAAGACAUUUUCCAAAUGUAGGAGGGGCCAGAAAAGAGCCUUUCAUUGUCACACCUUAUUUGCUAUUUGCCCCUUGAAAUCUAGGUAGAAUUAUUUUACCCCACAUUUCCAAAGCUUAUCAAAGUCCAAAGAGGGGGGGGUCUCUUCUCAUGGCCAUUUCUGCUUCCCUGUGUCCACCACUGAUUCUCUUGGCUAUGAUGGAGCUAAUGCUGGUUUUCGUGCUUUGUAACAUCUUGUUUGUCUUGAUUUUAGUCCCAUAUUUACUGACAAGGAGGCUGAAGGUACUUAUGAUAAUUCAGGUAGCCUAGUCUGUUUUCUAAAAUCUAAAACUACUAUCCCUUAUAUGUGAAAUCUAAAAAAAGCAUACAAUGAACUUCUUUGCAGAACAGAUACUGACAGACUUUGAAAAACUUACAGUUGCCAAAGGAGACAGGUUGGGGGGUGGGGGGAAUGGGCUGGGGUUUGGAAUGGAAGUGCUAUAAAAUUCAGUUGUGAUGAUUGUUGUACAACUAUAAAUGUAAUAAAACUCAUUGAGUUAAAAAAAAAUAAAAGCUA
rnacentral:lncRNA from 1 species